AGCUUGACGUUAGCGACAGAAGAAGCUCCGGCUAACUCCGUGCCAGCAGCCGCGGUAAUACGGAGGGAGCGAGCGUUAAUCGGAAUUACUGGGCGUAAAGCGCAUGCAGGCGGUUUAUUAAGUCAGAUGUGAAAGCCCUGGGCUCAACCUAGGAAAGUCAUUUGAAACUGGUAAACUAGAGUCUUGUAGAGGGGGGUAGAAUUUCAGGUGUAGCGGUGAAAUGCGUAGAGAUCUGAAGGAAUACCAGUGGCGAAGGCGGCCCCCUGGACAAAGACUGACGCUCAGAUGCGAAAGCGUGGGGAGCAAACGGGAUUAGAUACCCCGGUAGUCCACGCCGUAAACGAUGUCUACUUGAAGGUUGUGGCCUUGAGCCGUGGCUUUCGGAGCUAACGCGUUAAGUAGACCGCCUGGGGAGUACGGUCGCAAGAUUAAAACUCAAAUGAAUUGACGGGGGCCCGCACAAGCGGUGGAGCAUGUGGUUUAAUUCGAUGCAACGCGAAGAACCUUACCUACUCUUGACAUCCAGAGAAUUUAGCAGAGAUGCUUUAGUGCCUUCGGGAACUCUGAGACAGGUGCUGCAUGGCUGUCGUCAGCUCGUGUUGUGAAAUGUUGGGUUAAGUCCCGCAACGAGCGCAACCCUUAUCCUUGUUUGCCAGCACGUAAUGGUGGGA
rnacentral:rRNA from 1 species